rnacentral:lncRNA from 1 species
ACAACCAACAUACAAUACAAGUCUAAAAUCAUACAAAACAUAUAAAAGUGUAAAAACUACAACUCAUCUCCAAAUCCAAACUACAACACAUACAAAAGUAAAAAAACUACCACUCAUCAUCAUCGUCUUCGUCAUUUGCAUCCUCAGCCGCACACACAGGAUCUGAUUCCUCAUCUGUACUGAUAUCAUCCAGUGGGCCU